AUGCAGAGUGAGAUGAUGUUGGAAUCGCUUGACAAUGUCUUAGACGAUGAUGAGGCCGAAGAGGAAACUGAGGAACUGACUAACCAGAUUUUGCUUGUUCAGAAAUGAGAAGAUCAGUUAAGCUUUCGGAUUAAAACGAAGCUGAGAAUAGGGUGUUAGUUGAUGGAAAAUUGAUAACCUGUAGAGGUACAUCCAUGGAGUUCUCGCUUGCGAUUGUUGAGAAGCAAUUUGGUUGCGAGAAGGCAUUGGAUCUUGCUGUCAAUGAGAACUUUAAAGAGACAUAUAACUAUUAUGUUGGGAUUGUACUUUUGUGAAUGGAUUAAAAUAAAUGAUUGUAUUUGAUUGAAUGAAUGAAUGAUUUAGCCAUGAA